AUGAUGAUGAUGAAUGCACCGUCUUCUCAUGAUGGUGUCCUUGAUGGUAAUGGUCAGAGAUCUAUUUUUUUCUAUACUUUAUAUAAUAAUGGCAUCACAUAUCCUUUGUAGGUUUUGCAGUCUUCCACCCGUAUUUUGUCGUGCAGCAACAGGACACGGAGCAGUUUGCAUGCGGCUUCUUAAAGGCCAAGAAUCUUGCCGUUAUGAUAAGGAUCACCAAAUUGAAGGUCGUGUUCCAGGAGGAAGUCUGUGUCGAAGGCGAGGUUUCCUGCACUUGCGGCAACUACAACAGCUUUUGAAUCCACUGUCGUUUGGGGGGGGGACAGAAGAAGAAGAAGAAUUCACAUGUCACUGGAGUACCCUCAGCUUCCUGCGUCAUCCCAUUGGUCCAUGUCACCGCAGUGUGCCCCCCCCCCCCCCUUCCCGCGCCCCCC